rnacentral:lncRNA from 1 species
CGAAGUAGUAGUCUGGUGUGUGGGUGCAGCUGAAGUUUCAGAAGUGUCAGGUGCAAGAGUAGUUGGGGAAGAAUUAGGUGUGGGUGGGGCAGCUGUGGUCUCUGGUGGAGCUGAGGCGGAUGAUGGGUCUAGGGUAGUUGCAGAAGGUGUGGGUGGGGCAGCUGUGGUCUCUGGUGGAGCUGAGGAAGAUGGUGGAGCUGGUGUAGUUGCAGGAGGUGUGGGUGGGGCAGCUGUGGUCUCUGGUGGAGCUGAGGAAGAUGGUGGAGCUGGUGUAGUUGCAGAAGGUGUGGGUGGGGCAGCUGUGGUGUCUUGUGGAGCUGGGGAAUUCACUGGUGCUAAUGUAGCUACAGAAGAGCUUGUGUUAACAUUUUCUCUUGAAGAUAUGGUGGUGGCAUUCUGGGGAAGAAAAGUCACACAGAUGGAAUUUGGGUUGUAGCCACUAAGGUAGGGUUGACCACACUGCUAUUUUUAUCUGGAUGUUUAGGUGGCUGGUGGAAGCUUAGGCCUACAGCGUUUGUGCAGACAUUUAUAGGACUUUCUAAUGAACGGCUUCUGGUGAGCUAGCA